rnacentral:rRNA from 1 species
GACGAACGCUGGCGGCGUGCUUAACACAUGCAAGUCGAACGGAAAGGCCUCUUUCGGGGGGUACUCGAGUGGCGAACGGGUGAGUAACACGUGAGUAACCUGCCCUUGACUUUGGGAUAACUUCAGGAAACUGGGGCUAAUACCGGAUAGGAGCUCCUGCUGCAUGGUGGGGGUUGGAAAGUUUCGGCGGUUGGGGAUGGACUCGCGGCUUAUCAGCUUGUUGGUGGGGUAGUGGCUUACCAAGGCUUUGACGGGUAGCCGGCCUGAGAGGGUGACCGGCCACAUUGGGACUGAGAUACGGCCCAGGCUCCUACGGGGGGCAGCAGUGGGGAAUAUUGCACAAUGGGUGGAAGCCUGAUGCAGCAACGCCGUGUGCGGGAUGACGGCCUUCGGGUUGUAAACCGCUUUCGCUCAUGACGAAGCUUUGUGUGACGGUAGUGGGUAAAGAAGCACCGGCUAACUACGUG